rnacentral:rRNA from 1 species
UACGGAGGGUGCGAGCGUUGUUCGGAAUUACUGGGCGUAAAGCGCGUGUAGGCGGUUUUUUAAGUCUGAUGUGAAAGCCCUGGGCUCAACCUGGGAAUUGCAUUUGAAACUGGGAGACUUGAAUACGGGAGAGGGGGGUGGAAUUUCAGGUGUAGGAGUGAAAUUCGUAGAGAUCAGGAGGAAUACCGGUGGCGAAGGCGGCUGCCUGGACAGAUAUUGACGCUGAGACGCGAAAGCGUGGGGAGCAAACAGG